UACGUAGGGGGCAAGCGUUGUCCGGAUUCAUUGGGCGUAAAGAGCGUGUAGGCGGCCAGGUAGGUCGGUUGUGAAAACUGGAGGCUCAACCUUCAGACGUCGACCGAAACCAUCUGGCUAGAGUCCGGGAGAGGAGAGUGGAAUUCCUGGUGUAGCGGUGAAAUGCGCAGACUAUCAGGAAGAACACCCGUGGCGAAAGCGGCUCUCUGGAACGGUACUGACGCUGAGACGCGAAAGCGUGGGGAGCAACAGG
rnacentral:rRNA from 1 species